rnacentral:tRNA from 1 species
UGGCUGAGUGGUAAAGCAAUUGGCUUUCAAACUGGUGGUCACAGGUUCGAAUCCUGGU